CAAAUUUAUUAAAAAUCAUCAAAAAAUAAAGGACAUGAUGAGGAACAAAUCACAAAAAGAAUCAUGUAAAUUGGAUGAGUAUUUUAUGAGUUAUGAUUUUUUGAUUGUGGAAGAAAAAAAAAAUAAAUAGAAAUGGAAGCAUGAACAUGAUAAGCAUGGAUGAACAUGUGAAGUAAUGAAGACAAAUAAUGCCAAGCCAAAAAGAAAGUGAUGCCGCCCGGAAUCG
rnacentral:lncRNA from 1 species